GACGGCGACGGCGACUGACGACAGCGAAGAUCUGGAAGAAGAUGAGAAUCCAUUCAAACUACUCACACCGAGCAGUGUCAGGACUUGGACGGCGGAACAACUAGCAACCCAUUUGGCCAAGUACAACUGGAACGAAACAGUAUCAGUGUUACAAGACCACGAGCUAGACGGGGAGUCAUUGUCCCUAGUGUCCAAAGCACAACUCGUCACUAUCGGAGUGAAGGAAGAACACGCAGAAAUUAUAUGCGAAUUUGUUAAAAGUUAGUUUACAACAAUUAUUUGAAUCCUGUAACUUUUUCUGUGUAUACGGACCGGUAUUAGUAGAUGAUUCGAAUUAGAAGCGACCUUCACCAUCUGUUUACUGGAUGUUUUAUAUAAAAUUAUUAGGAUGUUGAUGAAAAUAUGUUGCGAGUACAUUGUAUAAAAAACUCCUGACCAACUAUUAUUAAACAUCUUUAAUGAUAGUUAAUAAUAGUUUGGUCAGGAGAUUUUAAGGCAACUCGCAAUAUAUUUUUUAACGUAUUGAAUCUAACAUAAAAGCGAAAGGACACUAAUCGAAAAAAUUGGCAGGGAGGUAGUUUAUAGUUAGUAAACGUCGGCUGAGCACGGAUUUUACGAAUGGGACGGAUUAACGAGGUCUAAUCGUGGGCAUCCGCUAGUUUGAUAUUGAACACUUUGCAUACACUAAAGAUAUAUUAGGGUUAUUUUUAUAUCCCUUUAAGUUUUUAUCUGCCUCGUUGGUCCAAUGGUUCAACUUAUGUGGCUUCUGAUCCUAAGUCGAGUAGAUAAGAUACCAUAGCUUUUCUUUCUUCUCUUAGCAGACCUGGUAGUGAUCGUUAUAAAGUCCAACAUUGACACGCCAAACCGCAUUGUAGCAACGUGAUGGUUCUUAGUUCUAUAUCCCCGCCUAGGAGAGAAGCCUAAAUUAACUUAAAAACGGCUAUUAAGUCAGAUUAUUAUCACACAUAAGGACAUAAUAUCAGACAUAAGGACUAGUGUCGCACCCAAAUUCACGAACAAAAUUGUCUGCCAUUUUGCGAGGAAAACGAGUCUAGAUUUUUAAAUUUAUAUAUU
rnacentral:lncRNA from 1 species